CUUGUGUGAUACAUGUGUAUCUUUCACAAUCAGCGAAAGGAGAGAUUUAGUGUAAAUGGUCUCCAUUUGGCAGAGCACUCUCAUUUCUCAGCGGAGAGGAACUAAAAUAAACUCCAAUUACCCAGAAGGACCAGGUGAACGUACUGCAGAUAAAAUAGAGCGCCUUUCGAUUCCUUUCAGGAACAUGACAGGGAAUUGACUGCAAUACUACACCCACAACUGAGACAGCUGAAGAGCUCCCAUCUGCAAACCAAGGCUGGAUGCUGUGAGAGGUCCGUUGGUGGACAAAGGGCAGCAUACUUUUAUGAGGACCUAAAGGGUUGCAAAAGUUGUGUGGAACUCUUCGUGGACUUCCUGUGGAGAAAACAACAACAAGAGGGGAGAGGAGAGAGGAGAUUCUUCCGCCCACCUUAACAGGGAACAAGGCUUCGCCAUGAUCCCAAUGUGCACCCUUGCUGCAUCCUGGAGGAAAGGAGUGGGGGGAGAGGGCGUCCUGUUUCCUGUGGCCAGUUGUGUUCGCCCCGUUCCCCUCCAGUGGAAAUUGGAUGUAACUAAACCAGAGGACAAAAUAAGUCCAUUACUUUUUAAAAGCGUGUCUUAAGUGAGACAGUGAUGCGCACUGACAAGGCCUGCUAAUUGGAGUAAAUUAAUUUACCUCGGGCGCCGUGUUCGCACAAAGUGCCGCGCUACACGUGAAUAAGUGAUGAUAGGCAGGCCUGUAUAAGCCCCGACUUUUUAAAUCAUUUAACAGCGCGAUCUGCUAAUUAGCAGAGAGAAAGCCGGCUUUCAGCUACAAUUAAGACAGGCCUCUGUCAGUCAGGGGAAGGGAGCCGGAGAGGCUCUCAUUUAUUCAUUCUCCAAGCAGAUGCUGAGUGCAAUGGGGGUUUGGAUGGAAGGAUCGAGGGAGAGAGAAAGCAGAGGGAUCUGACUGAGGGAUGGAAGGGAGAGGGGGAAGAGAGGGAUCUUGUCAUUGGUAGGUGGUGGGUGGUUGAAGAAGUACCCCCCUUUCCUCUUUUUUUUGUUGGGCCCCUGAGGGGGGCCAGCCAGGGGCCCAACAAAAGAGAAUCAAAACAAAGGCUUGUAAUAAUGGGAUGAGGAGAAGGAUUCCAUGUAACACACCUAGUUAGUUCUAACCACUUGUAUGGCCCCAGGACAACACUCCCCUCAGCUGGUCUUAACAUGGCUCCCACAUGAGCCUCCUCCAACGUUUCACCAGCUGACUGUGAGAAGUGGAUCCCCCUUUAAACUUGAUAUUGUAUGACCACUUAACUGACUGAUGUAAAUAAGCUCUUUCUUGCACAUGUGGGGAAUGACUAUAAACCUUACUACCAAUAUACUAAACAUUCCCUUCUCUAUGGUAUUUGCUCUCAGCCUAAAUGGACUUGAACUUGGACAACACUCAGAUGUUUGGAUUGGAUCUGGGUGCAGGCCUUUGGCUUUCAGUUUCUCCCGUGGACAAAUAAAACCCCCAUCUGUUACAGUCUGCUGAUAUCAUUAAUUACGUAUAAUUAUGUGAAUUGCACUGCUGUCUGUUAUGGAGGGGAUUACCGUUUGUGUCGUCCCUGUGAAUGGACCAUGGUUUCCAGCUAUAGGAAUGAAGAACUAGGAUUGGCUAAUUCAGUCGUGUCCCGUUUCAUAGAUUUUUAGUGUCCCAGGUUUGAAAUGAGAAGACAGAGAGACGAUACUCCCAAUUUGAUGACAAAUUGCUGUCUACCAGACUCCAAAAAGACACUUAAAAACACCAAAGUUAAACUAUUACUCUCAGGUGAAGAAUUCUCCCAAAUUAUCUGGAAUAAUAGUUAACUUUUGACAUUCACAUAGCCUUUCUGGCAAGGCUCACUUUGAUGCACUUACAGCGUGUCUGGCACUAAGUUCCUAACACUUAAUCAGAAAGUGCUUUGCAUAGCUUUUACGACAUCGACAGAUUUCUUUAACUCUGAAAGAAUUUACAAGGAGGUAUAAUGAGAUCAAACCAUCUAGGCUAAGAAAAAGUGUUUCCAAGGUGUUUUUGGGACAGCUCCUUAUGAACGAAUGACAGGAAGCUGUGGCUGUGUAGUUAGAAUUGGAAAAAAGUUCCAAACCAGAUCAAAGUCAUUAUUUACUAAUAAUCCUACUUAGGAAGUGCACAUUGUUGCUCUGAGCCCCAACUCAUUCCAUAAUCAGUGAGAGGCCGAAAGGCUCCUGCUCAGCACUUCUCUGUGACAGAUACAGUGUACAGUGGUGUCGAGCAUAAUGCCACGCUCACUGCAGGAUCGAUCACUGAGAGUUCAUCAGUUCUCCACUGAACUAGCCCACCAACAACCAUUCAUUUUCAUUAGGACACACAGAUCUGUCACAUUGACGCUAGCAAGCCUUUUACUCCCCCUGGCCAAUUUAUUCAAGGUCAGGCCAAUGAGUCCCGUUCCAUACAUUCAGCUCCUCACAUUCUGGCCUGUAAGCUCCUCAGACUUGGAAAUCAGUAUCUACCGUCAAAUUAUGAAUAUGUUAAUACUAGGGCCAUUGGAUUUAUGAUGAACACAAUGCUUUGAAUGUAUACAUGCGAGGUUGUUGAUGCAAACUUUGUUGACCGCUGUUUAUUUAUCGCCUAUUCCCAACUUGUGUUUCCUGGAUGGUUCCCACUUGCUGUUGGCUCGCUGUGGCUGUUUUUUUGUUGUUGCCCCCUUUGCUUCCUGCAGAGCUAAAGUCUUUCACUUUGAUCUGAAAGUCUUUGCAGCAUCAUUGACUGUAAUGAGAUCUGGAGAAUCCAUAAAGACUGCAGGGAUUUGACGGGGAGACUAAAAACUCCAGGCUAGGAACCGGCAGCAUUUCACGGGUGCAAACAAAAUAGAAAAAAAGAGAGACGAUCUCAGAUGGCUUGGCAAGCGCUUUGCCUUACCCUCCUCGAUCCGAACAUUAAUUUCCCCAACGUCUGGAAUUCCAGGGUAGAGAGGAGAAUCGCGGGAGAGGGGGAUUGGCACAGAAGCUUCUGGAUGUUUCUGUUCGCAGCGUGGCAGCACAGAAGGAGGCGGCGUCCCCAGAUGAGAGACAGUAUUUCUGUAAUCUGGCCCCCUGACUGCCGCUCUGCCGUCCAGUCCAUUAAUCAGUCACUCAAGGUCUCUGUUCCACCAAGGCCUCCUAUCAAACCGAAGAGCUGAGAGUGUCUGAUAUGUCCAAGUACUCUCUAGGUCAAGGAGAUAACAACAAGGUCACCACACUGUUUCCUCUGCUGAAACCCAGAUGUAUGUACAUUUGGUCUGUGAUUAUUAAACAGACUAGAGCAUGGUACUGAUUGAAUAUGUGUUUAUGUAUUGAACCUAGGUCAUUGCCAAGGUGGGUUUGUGAGGGUUUCAAGCAGCAACCCAUUCUGUAAGUAGUUCUCUGCUUGAGUUCCUGUGAAGAUUUUGAGUUGCAUUAUGGGUAUGUCAAGCUGUAUUAGAACGAAGGCUAUGAACAGCAAAUAAAGCAAUUUGUACCUCUCACCUUAAUUUAAUGUAAGCAAUUUUAUAAUAUCAAAUUGGUAUAAUCAUGUUCAUUUUAGAAAUUACAUUGAAUAUUCUUGACAACGGCAGUUUGUUGACUAAUUGGAUUUAGCUUGAAUAUUUUGUUGGCUUAAAACCCCGUUUCAACAAAACCCAGUGGCCAAUACUUGUUAAUCAAUGAUGUCAUUAGAACCAGAUUUCCACUAGUUCUGCCUGUUUUGCCCACUGGGAAGCAUACAAAACAAAAACAAAUUAAAUGUAUUUUAUAUGACACAUCAGAAAUAUAUAUUUUUUUGUUUUACCCUUUUAUAAAAGUGUAUAAAGACUAAUGGGAGGUUGUAUAUUCAUAGAAAUAAAAAUUGGCGUGCUCAGCUCAAAUGUUUGUAGUAACAAAACAUCUUUGGGUGCUGUGUUCAAAAUUUAAAUAUACAGUGCCUUGAGAAAGUUUUCACACCCCUUGAAUGUUUCCACAUUUCGUUGUGUUACAGCCUGAAUUUAAACUGGAUUAAGUUUAUAUUGUUGGUCACUGGCCUACAAAC